GAUGAACGCUAGCUACAGGCUUAACACAUGCAAGUCGAGGGGAAACGAUGAGAGAGCUUGCUCUCUUAGUCGUCGACCGGCGCACGGGUGAGUAACGCGUAUCCAACCCGCCUCUGACCAAGGGAUAACCCGUCGAAAGUCGGACUAAUACCUUAUGCAGUCGUCGGAAGUCAUCUGAUGACGACGAAAGAUUUCAUCGGUGAGAGAUGGGGAUGCGUCUGAUUAGCUUGUUGGCGGGGUAACGGCCCACCAAGGCGACGAUCAGUAGGGGUUCUGAGAGGAAGGUCCCCCACAUUGGAACUGAGACACGGUCCAAACUCCUACGGGAGGCAGCAGUGAGGAAUAUUGGUCAAUGGGCGUAAGCCUGAACCAGCCAAGUAGCGUGCAGGAUGACGGCCCUAUGGGUUGUAAACUGCUUUUAUGCGGGGAUAAAGUGAGGGACGUGUCCUUCAUUGCAGGUACCGCAUGAAUAAGGACCGGCUAAUUCCGUG
rnacentral:rRNA from 1 species